rnacentral:rRNA from 1 species
GCGUGCGGGAUGAAGGCCUUCGGGUUGUAAACCGCUUUUGUCAGAGACGAAAAGGGACGCACGAAUAAUGCGUCCCGCUGACGGUAUCUGAAGAAUAAGCACCGGCUAACUACGUGCCAGCAGCCGCGGUAAUACGUAGGGUGCAAGCGUUAAUCGGAAUUACUGGGCGUAAAGGGUGCGCAGGCGGCUGUGCAAGACAGAUGUGAAAUCCCCGGGCUUAACCUGGGAACUGCAUUUGUGACUGCACGGCUAGAGUUUGUCAGAGGAGGGUGGAAUUCCGCGUGUAGCAGUGAAAUGCGU